GAUGUGAACCUGGAAGUGUCUGGAGGAGGCUUAGUUAAACCUGGAGGAUCCAUGCAACUCUUUUGUGUAGCCUCUGGAUUUACUUUUGUAGAUGGCUGGAUGGACUGGGUCCGCCAGUCUCCAGAGAAGGGUCUUGAGUGGGUUGCUGAAAUUGCAAACAAAGCUAAUAAUUAUGCAACAUAUUAUCCCGAGUCUGUGAAAGGCAGAUUCACCAUCUCAAGAGAUGAUUUCAAAAGUAGUGUCUACCUGCAUAUGAACAGCUUAAGAGCCGAAGAUACAGGCAUUUAUUACUGUACAAGG